CCCUGAGCGGUGAGCGGAGGGAGCUGGAGGGCAGCUCCACAGCACUUCAGGCCGACCCAGUGCAAAACUGUUUGCAAACUAAAUCAACAACAGGUUAUGUGUUAUGCAAAAGAAGUCCAGCAAAAUUUGUAAUGACUGCUUGAACUUCACCUGGAAGAGAUCAGAACAAACUGGAGCUUGUAAUUGUCAGCAGAGGAAGACAGAAUUCAGUUUCAAGUAAAGAAAAUACAAAUCCCUUCCCUGGCUGCUUCCUGGAUUAAUGUGAUCCCGUCCUUGAACACGACACAAAAGUCUGAGAAGGGGCUCCCUGGCUAUGCUGAUCUUCAGCUUGCCAUACAUCUCUAGAAGUUUCCAGUCUGUGGCACACAGAGUUCCUAUUGAAAGUAGUAGAUGGAUAAAGAUGGAUCCUGCACACCCAGAACAGAUAUUUGCUUCCCUGUUUUCUUCCCCAGGAUGAU